AUGUUUCCGUUAAUCAAGAACGAAAGUUAGAGGUUCGAAGGCGAUCAGAUACCGCCCUAGUUCUAACCAUAAACGAUGCCAGCCAGCGAUCCGCCGAAGUUCCUCCGAUGACUCGGCGGGCAGCUUCCGGGAAACCAAAGCUUUUGGGUUCCGGGGGAAGUAUGGUUGCAAAGCUGAAACUUAAAGGAAUUGACGGAAGGGCACCACCAGGAGUGGAGCCUGCGGCUUAAUUUGACUCAACACGGGAAACCUCACCAGGCCCGGACACCGGAAGGAUUGACAGAUUGAGAGCUCUUUCUUGAUUCGGUGGGUGGUGGUGCAUGGCCGUUCUUAGUUGGUGGAGCGAUUUGUCUGGUUAAUUCCGGUAACGAACGAGACUCUAGCCUGCUAAAUAGACGAUUUCCGGUAUCCACAAUAGUGCUACCGGCGAAAUCAAUAUCUUCUUAGAGGGACAGGCGGCUUUCAGCCGCACGAAACUGAGCAAUAACAGGUCUGUGAUGCCCUUAGAUGUCCUGGGCCGCACGCGCGCUACACUGAAGGAAUCAGCGUGUCUACCCUGGCCGAAAGGCUCGGGCAACCCGUUGAACCUCCUUCGUGCUAGGGAUUGGGGCUUGCAAUUGUUCCCCAUGAACGAGGAAUUCCCAGUAAGCGCGAGUCAUAAGCUCGCGUUGAUUACGUCCCUGCCCUUUGUACACACCGCCCGUCGCUACUACCGAUUGAAUGAUUUAGUGAGGUCUUCGGACUGGUGCGCGGCGGCCGCCUCGCGCGGGCGCCGAUGCCACCGGGAAGAUGACCGAACUUGAUCAUUUAGAGGAAGUAAAAGUCGUAACAA
rnacentral:rRNA from 1 species